AAAAUCCGGCGGCUCGUUAUCCCCGAGAUGUGAUGACGAGGUCCUACGCGGACCGAAGUGAUUGACGCCCCGCUUCCAGGAAAAGCCUCUAAGCUUCAGGUCACAUUGGACCGUACCGAAAACCGACACUGGUGGGCGGGCAGAUAAUCUGCCAAGGCGCUUGAGAGAACUCGGGUUAAGGAACUCUGCAAAUUGAUACCGUAACUUCUGAAGAAGGUAUGCCUCCGACGGUGUAGGGAUUUACUCCCGAAGCCGUUUGAGGUCGCAGGUAAUCGGUGGCUGCGACUGUUUAUCAAAAACACAGGACUCUGCGAACACGCAAGUGGAUGUAUAGGGUCUGACGCCUGCCCGGUGCCGGAAGGUUAAGUGAUGGGGUUAGCCGCAAGGCGAAGCUCUUGAUCGAAGCCCCGGUAAACGGCGGCCGUAACAAUAACGGUCCUAAGGUAGCGAAAUUCCUUGUCGGGUAAGUUCCGACCUGCACGAAUGGCGUAACGCUGGCCACACUGUCUCGACCCGAGACUCAGUGAAGUUGAAAUCGCUGUGAAGAUGCGGCGUUCCCGCGGCAAGACGGAAAGACCCCGUGAACCUUCACUACAGCUUUACACUGAACUUUGAACCUUCCUGUGUAGGAUAGGUGGGAGGCUUUGAAGCCUGGGCGCUAGCUCGGGUGGAGCCAACCUUGAAAUACCACCCUGGGAUGUUCGGAGUUCUAACCUUGGCCCGUAAUCCGGGUUGGGGACAGUGUAUGGUGGGUAGUUUGACUGGGGCGGUCUCCUCCCAAAGAGUAACGGAGGAGUGCAAAGGUACGCUCAGCGCGGUCGGUCAUCGCGCUCUAGAGUGCAAAGGCAUAAGCGUGCUUAACUGCGAGACGGACAUGUCGAGCAGGUACGAAAGUAGGUCUUAGUGAUCCGGUGGUUCUGUAUGGAAGGGCCAUCGCUCAACGGAUAAAAGGUACUCCGGGGAUAACAGGCUUAUUCCUCCCAAGAGUCCACAUCGACGGAGGAGUUUGGCACCUCGAUGUCGGCUCAUCACAUCCUGGGGCUGUAGCAGGUCCCAAGGGUAUGGCUGUUCGCCAUUUAAAGUGGUACGCGAGCUGGGUUCAGAACGUCGUGAGACAGUUCGGUCCCUAUCUGCCGUGGGCGUUGGAAACUUGAGGGUGAGCUGUCCUUAGUACGAGAGGACCGGGAUGGACGUAUCUCUGGUGUUCCGGUUGUCACGCCAGUGGCACUGCCGGGUAGCUAUAUACGGACGGGAUAACCGCUGAAAGCAUCUAAGCGGGAAGCCCCCCCCAAGAUUAGGUUUCCCUGGGAACUCGAUUCCCCUAAAGGGCCGUCGCAGACUACGACGUUGAUAGGCUGGGUGUGUACGUGCAGCAAUGCAUUGAGCUAACCAGUACUAAUUGCCCGUGAGGCUUGACCAU
rnacentral:rRNA from 1 species